UACGGGGGGGGCAAGCGUUGUUCGGAAUUACUGGGCGGAAAGGGCUCGUAGGCGGCCAACUAAGUCAGACGUGAAAUCCCUCGGCUUAACCGGGGAACUGCAUCUGAUACUGGAUGGCUUGAGUUCGGGAGAGGGAUGCGGAAUUCCAGGUGUAGCGGUGAAAUGCGUAGAUAUCUGGAGGAACACCGGUGGCGAAGGCGGCAUCCUGGACCGGCACUGACGCUGAGGAGCGAAAGCCAGGGGAGCAAACGGG
rnacentral:rRNA from 1 species